rnacentral:misc_RNA from 1 species
UAACACGUGGCUGCGGCAGACAGGCAUACACCAACUCCCCACCACAUCUGCUCCUCCCACGUACAAACGUGCACCCCACCGAGAGACCGAGACACGCACACACAGGCGUGCCGCCCCUUCCCUCGUGCGCCUUUCUGUCUUGAUCCCUCCCCUCGUUUUCGCCCUCGCUCAGCCCUUCCGUGGAACACCUCACUCACACACCCUCCUGCAGGCGUGCCACGGUGUUGCGGAGUUUGUGAGCGAGUAAGGAAGAGGCGUGAGAGACUUGCCUGUGGAAGGACAACGACGCUUUUGUACGCUUUCUUUCUCCGUCUUGUGUAGUCUCGCCUCUGCAGAAGACUCCUUAUUCCUUGCGCUGUCUGUGCCCACGCCUCCGUGUUUUCCUCUCACCCAUCCCCUGCCCUGCGACUGCAGGGCAGCCACCUCCUCUCCCCUUCUCUCGGUGCUCGUCCUUGACGGAUCGCCUUCGCGCGCGCCGGAUCGAUUAAGUGGGCUCCUCGAGGCUCACAGGUGCAGCACCAUGGACAUCGCCGCUGCAGCUGCUGCCUCACAGGAGGGCGCCCGUGUGGCCGACACCGCCGCCAUUGCGAAGGGCCGCCUUCCACCUGUCGUGCCGCAGCCCUGUAGGAGUGAACGGCUCGGCCCAGAGCCGAUGACGCUGUCGCCGCCGGCCGCUCGUGACGGCAACACAUGCAGGACUGAUUCUCUCGCAACCCUUCGCUGCGGAGCUGGCCAGGGUGUCAUCGGAAAUUCAGGAAGCGCACCAGCCUCUAUCGGCAGAGGUUCGCCAUCCACAGGCCCUGCCACGCUGGCUUCCGCGCCAAAUCCCCGUCGUGGCUUCUGCAUCCCCUCGCUGCGCUCGCCUGGAAACUCAUCUGCGUUGCCGCCUCUUUCCGCUGCUGCACAGCACAGCGGCGGGCCUACGCAGUCAACACGCCGCCUCCGAAGCCAAGAGAUGGCGAUAGCUGAAGAGCAAGAGCUGCGCGACUUGAGGCUACUGCUGAACUCUCAGUCGUCGCGUCUGCGCCGGCACACCUCUCCAACGAUGCUGACUCCCGAAGAGAUGCACGCGCCGGUGAAGAGUCCUCCCCCCCUCCUCUCCGGCCCGUCCACGCGACCCGCAGCAGAGACAGCUGCUGCUGCGGUGAUGCUAGUCAGCAGCCAACCCAAGGCUCACACUGCUACCGAUGCCAACAAGAUUGCGGCACCUCAAGAAGGUCGCACCAAAUGCGAGCCGGCUGAUCGCUCGACGGCGGCCGCGGUAACGCAUACCGAGUCCAUCUCAGCGCGGAGUACGGACCCUUCGAUGCGGACAGUGCGCAACGGCGCCCUCUACGCACGCAGGCCCAACGGCAGCUCCUUCAAAGACGACUUUUUCGGGCAGUUUCACAUCAACGCCGACUCCGCGGCGCAGCCGCAGCUCGACGACAGCGAGGAAGCGCUGCUCACUGCACUGGAGAAGGAGACGGCAGUGCGCGAAGCCCGGCUGGAGCGCCGCAGCAGGGAUAUUCGCAAGAAGUUGGCGGAACCGUCGCGGGACCGGGCCGGCCACAUCUAUCCGCCGCCGCCCCCGGUGACGCAGGCCACCUCUGAAACAGAGAUUCACGAGCGUGCGAUGGCAGCUGAAGAGUUUGCAAAGACCCUAAUGCAGCGUCGCCGGCACGGCGAGGAGCGUGAUCGACGCCAGCAGCAGAGGGAGCGGCAUCGCACUUCGCGCUCUCCUCCGGUGCGCCUAGGGACGGCCUCUGAAAACAACACCGCCUUCUCCAACACGACCUUCUUGAACACGCAAUGCAGGGACGGUGUGGACGUCAACGACACGGAGGCGAUCGAGAGCCAUACCAUGUUGCACGUCAGCAGCAGCGGCCGGCCUCUCACGCGGGGCUCCUGGGCCUCGCAGGAGCCCCACGAGGCGAACGAGAUGUCCAUGGCGAGCCUGGCGCUGGGCCGCAUGUCCCUGCGCUCGUGCAGCGUGAACAAGGUGACGGACAGCACGCUGGCGAUUAUGGAGAUGCUCGCAAACAGGCCAGAUGUCCUGCUUCCGUCCCCGGCUGAGACGGCUGUUGUGCGUCGCGGUGACGUGCUGUCCUCAAAGCACAUCCUCAAGCGCGACUUGGAGGAGGCGCUGCGGUCGCGGCAGGGCUCGACCGGCAUGAUCGCUGGAGCGCCGUUCUUUCGCAUCGUACCGAAGCUGAACAUCGCCGGUGUCGCCCAGGCAAACGCCAGUGCGGUGCGCACGAUCGUGAAUGAGCUGCGCCGCGCGCACGUUGAGGGCCCCAUCGUCUGGGUGAACCUGCGCGAGGAGCCGCUUGUGUACAUCAACGACACCUCCUACAUCGUCCGCGAGCGCGCCGAUCCGCUGACGCCCAUUAUCAUCCCCAACGUGACGGGGCUAAGCAUCGAGUGCAUCGAGCGCAAACUCAAGCAGGAGGUGCUGCAGGAGGCGUACGAGAAUGGUGGCAACGUCAGCGUGCACCUUGAGUGCCGUGGCGGCAACAUGGAGGACCAGUGGGUGUGCGCCAGCCGCAGCGAGGUGCUGACGCUGGCUGAGGUUUUCCAUCGCGUGGAGAAGGAGACGGACCACCAAGUCAUGUACUUCCGCCGGCCCAUCACGCAGAAUAUUGGGCCGCAGCCCGAAGAUUUCGACUUCGUGCUGGAUGCGUGCCUCGAGGAGCCGAAGGCGGUGUUCGUCUUCAGUUGCCAGUCCGGUCGCGGCCGCACGAGCUCGAUGAUGCAGAUAGCCAACAUCGUCCGCUUCUACCAACUUUGCGUGAAGGAUGUGACGGCCGAUAUGCGUGUGCUGCGCGAGAAGGUGAACGGGCCGUCGUACCGCACCAUUCAGAAGCUGGUGUCGCUCUUUCCUGACGGCAAACUGCACGAGCGUCGCCUCAUGAUCCUGAUGGAGCUUGCCGACAAGGUGUACUCCAUGGCGGACCACAUCAACGAGGCGUUUUCCGGUAUGAACGAAGCCCCGGAGGUGGCGAAGAUGCGGCUGCAGGUGUACGCGCUCUUUCUGGUCUUCUCCUACUACUGCGAGCAGAGACUGUGGAACUACUCGACGCGCUUGUCAUUUACGCAGUGGCUGAACGAGAACUCCGAGAUGAGGCUUCUCAUCGGCAGCGUGCGCGAGAAGCUUGAUGACCAGCUCAAGUUGGAGCGGGUGUUCUCCCUGUCCUCGGGAGGCCCCGAGGCCGACGCGCUGCGCGCCAUCCGCCACCGUCGCGGUAACGUGCUGAGCACCGGCCGCAUCCUGCUCAGCCUCCCAAUGAGCAACUAUUCACGCCAGGAGAUUAUAGCGUUGCGCCAGCUCGCGCCAGGGGUGCCGGUGCUGACAUGCGGCCGUGUCGGUGAGGUGGCGCGCGACCAGCUCGUGUGCGACAUCCGUGACACGUUCCCGCACGUGCGCUCCAUCCAUUGGAUCAGCCUGCGCGCCGAGCCGAUGGUGCUGAUUAAUGAGGUGCCCUACACGCUCUCCGACUACGAUGCCGCGCACGGCUCGGCCGAGCAUGGCACGACGAUGCACGUAUCUGUGCAGGCGAUGGAGCAGAUCGAGGAUCGUCUGCGGCGUGAUGUGCUGCUGGAGGCGCAGGACAACGGCGGCUUCAUCAUCCUGCACCGUUUGACGACGGCGGGUGAGCGGGAGGUGCUGCGCGUCAAGGUCGUCUCGGCGCGCACCCCACGCAGCACGAUGGAGGAGUUCGUGGAGGCAACCGGCGUAUGCUACUCCCGCAUUCCGAUGCCGUUCUCCGGGGAGCUGCUGGCGAGUGACAUCGACCCCCUCCUCAACUACCUGGCCAAGGCGGACAUCAACCAGCACGACGCCAUCGUCAUCAACGAUUCAGCCGGCACAACGCGCACUACCGUGGCACUGAACAUCCUGACGCUGUUCCGCGCCAGUCGACUUGAAAAUCUUCGCUCGCUGCAGACGACCGAGGAGGUGGCGACGCUGCUGCGCAUCGGGGCCACGGAUCGGCUCGUCGACAACGCUCAGGUAGCCGCCAGGGCAGAAGUGCCUUCGGAAGAGAUUCCCGAGCACCAUGUGGAGCUGCUCCUCGCCUCGACCAUCUGCCAGAUGCUGACAGCCGGUAGGCUCCUUCGCACGGUGGACGCCGUCAUCGCCCUCGGUGGCCGCGGCCGGCGCUGGAAUAUCUUGCACGCGUUGGACUUUCUCAAGAAGCGCAUUGGGGUGCUCGGCAGCAACAAGCCCCAGCGCAUCGUGGAUGCCCUGCAUGGCCUGCGUUGUUACCUGCUCGUGCUGCUCUCAUGCCUGUACCUGGAUGCGCAGAAGGGGGAGGGCUUCACCAUCGGGGAGCUGCUCUUCAGCGACUGGGUCACCGCCCACGCGGAGGUAUCGAACAUCGUCGAGCACCUCGAGGAUCGCGGCGAGGCGGCGCUCGAGUACGUGGCGGCCGACAACCUCAUGAAGGCCGACCUUUCGCGGCGCUCCGGCAACGUGCUGACGGCCAACUUCUGUCUAAAGGCCGACCACUUUCCCGGCUGCCAGAAGAAGGGGCUGCGGCCGGCGCUGUGCGGCGCACCAAACUUCCGAAAGGUGGAUUUUGUGAACGUCUACGGUGUCGCCAUCCCGACUAUCAAGGGCAUCCACAACGUGCUCUCGCUGCUGGGCGCCUCCAGCGAGCCUCUGCAGGUAUACCCAGGGCAGAGCAACGACUCCGAGCCAUACCUCGGCUUUGCGGCGCAGCGGCUCUUCGAGCCAGCCUUCAAGCCCGAGGAGCUGCAGCACCCACUGCGCGGCUCUGUGGUGUGGGUGAACUUGCGGGAGGAGCCCAUCCUGUACGUGGGAGACCGGCCCUUCGUCUUCCGCGACUUGGCGGCCCCGUACGUGAAUGUGGUGCUGACCGGCAUCCAGACCGAAAAGGUCGAGUUGGUGGAGUACGAGCUGAAGCGUGACGUGCUCAUGGAGGCGGCACAGUACGACGGCAAGUUCCUCGUCCACGAUGAAGGUAACCCGGGCGAGCUCGUCGGCGUGUGGGAGUCGGCGGACGAGGAGACUGUAAAGACUCUGCGCGAGGUCUACGAUGAGCUGGUGGUGAAGCAGUUCCGCUGCCAAAUGCUGCGACUCCCGGUGACGGACGAGCAGAGCCCGGAGAUUCGCGACUUCGACCUUCUCGUCAAUGCCCUCCUCCCGCGCAUUGCGAAGCACCUUGACCGUCGCGAGACGCUGUCGUUCGUUUUCAACUGCCAGAUGGGCCGCGGCCGCACCACGACGGGCAUGGUGAUCUGCUGUCUCCUCAUUGGCCUCGUAAUACCGGAGUACUACGACGAGCUGCACAACGCUUACCGCGACUCCCUCUACGCAGACACAGAGUCGGACCUCGGCCGCGGAGAGUACUCCGUCAUUGUGCAGCUGAAGCGCGUACUGGCGCAGGGCCGCACCGCCAAGUACCAGGUCGAUCUCGUGCUCGAGGCGUGCUCGAAGAUGCAGAACUUGCGCACAGCCAUUGAAGCCUUUGCUAUUGCGGUGUCGUCCCCGGACACGAUUGAGUCGGGUCGUGCUCGCGCGCACCACGCUGGUGUGCAUUACCUGAAGCGCUACUUCAACCUCAUCGUCUUUGCCGUGUACCUGCAGGAGGAGUAUGACCGCAUAUCGAAGCUUAUGCGGCGCUCCUUCACCGACUGGAUGACGACCCACCCGGAGAUUUUCACGCUGCUAGAUUCGUGCGUUCUCAAGUGACAUCGAGGGCGCCUGUGCCGUGCUGCGUGUCUCAGUCGCACGGGCAAUGCUCACUGUGGUGACAGCUGCUGCUGUGCUGGUGAACGCGCUCGCUACGUGUGCUCAUUAGAGGCGGUGAUUUGCCUGUGCCUUUAUGCAUCCUUGAUUCAUCUGUUUUGUUUUCUGAUGUAAGCCAGCGACUGCGCAACGGAAAGCGUUGGCAGUCUUCAACCCCCACCCCUCUUAUACGACUUCGCAUCCGCUGUACAUUCUCUCUCUCUCGCUGUAUGUGUGUGUGUGUGUGCUGUUGCCUGUGCAUGCGCGUACCUUCAUUCCUUUUUCCCGGUAGACGCCGCGUGUGUUCGCGGCGCUGCCUCGCCCUUUCACUCGCUCGCUUGCUUUCUCUUAAGCACCGUGGUGCAUCUCUCUGUUGAUGCCUCGCGCUCGCUAUCCCUCCAUAUUGCAACAUGCUUGACAUAUCUCUAUGACGAGGCCGCUGCUGUGUCGUGGCGCGAUCGAGGCGGAGGAAAGCCGUAAAGGCUGACGGCACGCCGUAGAAGGCGAUGCGUGAGGUGCGGCUCAUGAAAUCGAUCCGUGUGGGAGAGAAAGGAGAGAGGGGCGAUCGACUAAGGUAAGGGCGGUGAGUUGGGGCAUUGCGCAUCUGCAUGCUCCUCCUGACAUCCAUCAUUACACCGUUCAGGCUCCACAGUUCGGUCUCUCGUCUCUCACACUCCGACCUCCCGCAUCAAUGAGUAGGCCAGCUGCCUCGCGGUGUUGCCUUUCCUCCUGCCAUUUGCGGACGCCCCUCUCCCCCUCUCUCCUCGUAUCGGCACUUCUGCGUGUAUGUGACUCUCCGCGUUGCCCUGUCAAGCGUCACAACCGCGCUGGCUAGCGAUGCUGCGGUGGUGGUGGUGGUAAGCUCUUCAGGCGCAAAGGGUGUGGGGGACCGUUGGUAGUGGCGCGUGUGCUGGGUUUGGGGGGGGGUCUGGGGGAGAGUGAGCGGGGAGAGCUGAGGGGCGCAGGAGCGUGCACCUAUGCUUGCGCGUCUUCAGGCCAUUCAAGUACGGCCUAGAUAUCUACACACACAUAUGCCCACCCACCAUUUGCCCACGGUGAAGCUGCCUCUUCUCCUUGCACCACCCCCCUCUAUCUCGCUGCCUGACUCGGGGGUUAGAGCUUAUCUUCUCGUCGCCAUUCUUUGUCAUG